UUUUUCUUCUCUUCCAUCUGUGCCUGUCAAUCAGAGGAGGAGUGUGUUGCUGUGCAUGUCUACUGUCUACUGUGCUCGCAAAACAGAAAUCACCAGCGAUACAAGUGUGGUCUCCAGUCAGACACAACCGAAGAAGUCUGAGUUGGAUCUUCAGAAAACAUCACAAUGCCUUAUGAGCGGAUUCUGUCCAUUGAAAGUCUGUGUGACGUGCCUAAUCCGUGGAAAGGGGUUACUAUGAACCGAUGCUUGGUGCUGGUACUGGUGGUACUGCUUGUGAGCUCAGGGGUACAGGAAGUGCAUGAAGCAGUAGAGUAUGUUGUCGAGGAAACAGGCGUCAGGUCUUUGGUGGAAACUCUGCAGAGUGGCUCAUUUCCUCAGAUUUCCUUGUGGGACACUUUCAUGUGGUGGUGGGGAUCUGAGGAAGUCGGAGCAAUCAGAAGAAGAAAAAAGCCAAUUGCCAGGGCAGUCUUGAAACCCAAAGCUAAAGAAUAAUGUGUAACAGGUCAACAAACAAAUGUUAUCGACUCCCACAACAGCAAGAUUUUGGCGAUUAUAGAAGCAACAAGUCUUAAGUGUACUUUGCAAUGUUACCUGAGUGAUGUAAACAUGCUUUAUUUGAUAUUGAGCAUACUUUGAAUUUUAUAUUAGUAAUGCGAAGAUGUUGCACUAGACCUGUUUCUUUUGUAUUGUUGAGCACCCAGUUAUAUGUGUCUGUCAGAACUCGUCUGAUGAAAAUAUGUUGAAUCCCCCAGUGAAGCCUGCAUUGUAACUCACUGUAUUUGAGCACACUGUAAAAUAAUCCUGUUAUCAACAACUAAU